GAUAUCGUGGAGGCUCACUACCGC
rnacentral:piRNA from 1 species